GGUCCCGCCUGCCCUGUGACUCUAAGUUUAACGGCCGCGGUAUUUUGACCGUGCGAAGGUAGCGCAAUCACUUGUCUUUUAAAUGAAGACCUGUAUGAAUGGCAUCACGAGGGCUUAGCUGUCUCCUCUUCCUAGUCAGUGAAAUUGAUCUGCCCGUGCAGAAGCGGGCAUACCCCUACAAGACGAGAAGACCCUGUGGAGCUUAAGAUAUAAGACUAGCCACGUCAAACAACCAAACUAAAAGGUAUGAACAAAGUGAUGCAUAGCCAGUAUGUCUUCGGUUGGGGCGACCGCGGGGGAAAGACAAGCCCCCAUGUGGAUUGGGCCUACGCCUAAAGCCAAGAGACACAUCUCUAAGCCUCAGAAUAUCUGACCAUAAAUGAUCCGGCUAACACCGAUCAACGGACCAAGUUACCCCAGGGAUAACAGCGCAAUCCCCUCCCAGAGUCCAUAUCGACGAGGGGGUUUACGACCUCGAUGUUGGAUCAGGACAUCCUAAUGGUGCAGCCGCUAUUAAGGGUUCGUUUGUUCAACGAUUAAAGUCCUACGUGAUC
rnacentral:rRNA from 1 species